GACAGAGGGUGCAAACGUUGUUCGGAAUUACUGGGCGUAAAGCGCGUGUAGGCGGUCGCGCAAGUCGGGUGUGAAAGCCCGGGGCUCAACCCCGGAAGUGCAUUCGAUACUGCGUGGCUAGAGUACCGGAGAGGGUGGUGGAACUCUCGGUGUAGAGGUGAAAUUCGUAGAUAUCGAGAAGAACACCGGUGGCGAAGGCGGCCACCUGGACGGAUACUGACGCUGAGACGCGAAAGCGUGGGGAGCAAACAGG
rnacentral:rRNA from 1 species